GUGGGGAAUCUUCCGCAAUGGACGAAAGUCUGACGGAGCAACGCCGCGUGAGUGAUGAAGGUCUUCGGAUUGUAAAGCUCUGUUAAUCGGGACGAAAGAGCCUAGUGUGAAUAAUGCUAGGAAGUGACGGUACCGGAAUAGAAAGCCACGGCUAACUACGUGCCAGCAGCCGCGGUAAUACGUAGGUGGCAAGCGUUGUCCGGAAUUAUUGGGCGGAAAGCGCGCGCAGGCGGAUCUGCCAGUCUGUCUUAAAAGUUCGGGGCUUAACCCCGUGAUGGGAUGGAAACUACAGGUCUAGAGUAUCGGAGAGGAAAGUGGAAUUCCUAGUGUAGCGGUGAAAUGCGUAGAUAUUAGGAGGAACACCAGUGGCGAAGGCGGCUUGCUGGACAUUAACUGACGCUGAUGCGCGAAAGCGUGGGGAGCAAACAGGAUUAGAUACCCGAGUAGUCC
rnacentral:rRNA from 1 species